rnacentral:tRNA from 1 species
GCUCUGUAAGCAAAAGACAUGCAAUCAGUUUUGUAAACUGAUAAAAAAGGUUAAAUUCCUUACCAAAGCU